GACGAACGCUGGCGGCGUGCUUAACACAUGCAAGUCGAACGGACAGGCCCUGCUCUUGUGGGGUGCUCGUGUGGCGCACGGGUGAGUAACACGUGAGUAUCCUGUCCUUGUCUUUGGGAUAACUUCAGGAAACUGGGGCUCAUACAGGAUAGGAGCUCCUGAUGCAUGGUGGGCGUUGGAAAGUUUCGGCGGUUGGGGCUGGACUGGCGGCUUAUCCGCUUGUUGGUGGGGUAGUGGCUUACCAGGGCUUCGACGGAUAGCCGGCCUGGGAGGGUGGCCGGCGUCAAGAGUACUAAGAGACGGCCCAGACGCCAACGGGAGGCAGCGGGGGAGAAUAUGGCGGAAUGGGCGGAAGCCUGAGGCAACAGCGUCGGGUGCGGGAUGACGUCCUUCUAGGUAUGAACCGCUUUCGCCGGUGACGAAGCGGGAGUGACGGUAAUGGGUAAAGAAGCACCGGCUAACUACGUG
rnacentral:rRNA from 1 species